rnacentral:rRNA from 1 species
ACGGUAGGGUAUUGGCCUACCGUGGCAAUGACGGGUAACGGGGAAUUAGGGUUCGAUUCCGGAGAGGGAGCCUGAGAAACGGCUACCACAUCUAAGGAAGGCAGCAGGCGCGCAAAUUACCCAAUCCUAAUACAGGGAGGUAGUGACAAGAAAUAACAAUACAGGACUUUUUGGUUUUGUAAUUGGAAUGAGUUAAGUAUAAACCCCUUUACAAGUAUCAAUUGGAGGGCAAGUCUGGUGCCAGCAGCCGCGGUAAUUCCAGCUCCAAUAGCGUAUAUUAAAGUUGUUGCAGUUAAAAAGCUCGUAGUUGGAUUUCUGUUAAUAAUUUAUAUAAAAUAUUUUGAAUAUUUAUAUAACAUUAACAUAAUUCAUAUUACUAUAUUUUUUAGUAUAUGAAAUUUUACUUUGAGAAAAUUAGAGUGCUUAAAGCAGGCAUAUGCCUUGAAUACUCCAGCAUGGAAUAAUAUUAAAGAUUUUUAUCUUUCUUAUUGGUUCUAAGAUAAGAAUAAUGAUUAAUAGGGACAGUUGGGGGCAUUUGUAUUUAACAGUCAGAGG